rnacentral:rRNA from 1 species
CGCCUCUUGUAAACUUUAAAAUAAGAGGUCCCGCCUGCCCUGUGACUAUAAGUUUAACGGCCGCGGUAUUUUGACCGUGCGAAGGUAGCGCAAUCACUUGUCUUUUAAAUGGAGACCUGUAUGAAUGGCAUAACGAGGGCUUAACUGUCUCCUCUUUCAAGUCAAUGAAAUUGAUCUCCCCGUGCAGAAGCGGGGAUAAUAACAUAAGACGAGAAGACCCUAUGAAGCUUUAGAUAUAAGGCAGAUCAUGUCAAACACUCCUUGAUAAAGGACAAAACCAAAUGAUCCCUGCCCUGAUGUCUUUGGUUGGGGCGACCGCGGGGCAAAAACAAACCCCCACGUGGAACGGGAGCAUUCCCUCCUACAACUAAGAGCUGCUGCUCUAGUUAACAGAAUUUCUGACCAAUAAGAUCCGGCAAUGCCGAUCAACGAACCGAGUUACUCUAGGGAUAACAGCGCAAUCCCCUUUUAGAGCCCAUAUCGACAAGGGGGUUUACGACCUCGAUGUUGGAUCAGGACAUCCUAAUGGUGCAGCCGCUAUUAAGGGUUCGUUUGUUCAACGAUUAAAGUCCU